rnacentral:rRNA from 1 species
UACGUAGGGGGCAAGCGUUGUCCGGAAUUAUUGGGCGUAAAGAGCGCGUAGGCGGUCCGAUAAGUCGGCUGUGAAAGUCAGGGGCUCAACCCUUGAAAGCCGGCCGAUACUGUCGGACUAGAGUCCGGAAGAGGCGAGUGGAAUUCCCGGUGUAGCGGUGAAAUGCGCAGAUAUCAGGAGGAACACCCGUGGCUAAGGCGGUUCUCUAGUACGGUACUGACGCUGAGACGCGAAAGCGUGGGGAGCGAACAGG